CCCUCCAUCUCCAAAAAAUUAAACCCCAAUUUCCCCCACAAAAAUUCACUUCCCUCCUGUAUCCAAAAAAUUAAACCCCAAAACUUCCUCUCAUCUUCCAAACACCUCUCCUCUCCAUCGUCUAUCUGCCGCCUGCUGAACCUCGAAGCCAUCCAGCCGAAGACUGGACGCAAUCCACGACAACCUCAACCUCACAUGGUUUCGCCCUAAUCGACGAACCCUAAACUCUAAUCGAACAUCACGGUUAUUUGAAGAGUACUUGAAAGUUUGGUUUGUUAAUUGAACAAUGUGGGCUCCUCCACCGCCUCCAAUGGCUGACAACAUACGAGGAAUUCACACAGAUGAAAUCCAAAUUUGAGAAUAUUAGAGGCUUUAAAAUUGUUGUGAUGCUAUUGAUGCCACUCGUAUAUUAUGAAGUUGCCGUCAGCAACGGAUCGAACAACUAAUGUUUGGCUUGACGGAAUGAGUCAAUUGCGGUAUACUUCAUGUAUAAUGGAUCAAACGUAUGUUAGCUAAAAAGGAAAUGGGUCAAAUAGGAGAAAUGGUUUCAGUGUGGCCUUAGCCCAUUGACUCGAAACUAACUUCUGAAGCUUCUUAUUCCGGUGGCCUUUUGUCAUACCAGUAACAUAUCAUUUGUAGCCGUUACAGUCUCAUUCACCCACACAAUCAAAGCCCUUGAGCCGUUCUUCAAUGCUGUUGCUUCUCAAUUUAUUCUCGGACAGUCGAUUCCCAUAACUCUAUGGCUUUCUUUGGCUCCUGUUGUUAUUGGUGUGUCAAUGGCCUCUUUGACUGAGCUGUCAUUCAACUGGCUAGGCUUUAUCAGUGCCAUGAUUUCCAAUAUCUCUUUCACUUACACUCUUACAGGAGUAUCUACUUUAAGAAAGCAAUGGUUGUUAACGGGCUAUGGCUUAGAGCCGUGUUAGCAUGUGUUUUUGGGAGUCGUAUUUUAUACGGAGGGUAUGACUCCACCAUAUCAAAUUCUUUAACCGAGGGCUCGGUGAAAAAAACGGAUGGUGGUGGAGAAUCAUACAUGACCUCGAAAGGGCUUAUGGAAUUAUUCAAAGUGAGCCUUGAAGUUGAUAUGCAAAAAGAAAUUGAAGAGGACCAUAAAGGAAAAAAAAAAGGAAAAAAAAAGUUGAACUAUGCCUGAAGAUUUUGAUAGCCAACAAGCCAACCUAAGGCUACAAUGCUCAAUAUUGUGAAAAAGCUACAUAUCGAGUACUUUGUUUUGCAUGUAAUUGAAAACUUUAUUUUUGUUAAUUUUUUAGCAUAGUAAUUGAAAACUUUAUUUUGAUUAUGUUGUUAUUUUGAGUUUUGACAUAUGUUAAAUUACAAUAUAAGAUUAUCUAUUAUAUUUAUGUUAUCA